rnacentral:rRNA from 1 species
UGCAGUCGAGCGAGAACUUUCCUUCGGGGAAGGAGUAAAGCGGCGCACGGGUGAGUAACGCGUGGGUAAUCUACCCUCAAGUUCGGAAUAACACUUCGAAAGGGGUGCUAAAACCGGAUAUGACCGCGGCUAUUUCGAUAGUAGUGGUAAAAAAUGGCCUCUCCAUUGGAAGCUGUUGCUUGGGGAUGGGCCCGCGUCCUAUCAGCUAGUUGGUAGGGUAAUGGCCUACCAAGGCAGAGACGGGUAGCUGGUCUGAGAGGACGACCAGUCACACUGGGACUGAUACACGGCCCACACUCCUACGGGAGGCAGCAGUGGGGAAUAUUGCGCAAUGGGGGAAACCCUGACGCAGCGACGCCGCGUGGGUGAUGAAGGUCUUCUGGUUGUAAAGCCCUGUCGGGUGGGAAGAAAUUCUUUAUAGCUAAUACCUAUAGAGAUUGACGGUACCACCAAAGGAAGCACCGGCUAACUCCGUGCCAGCAGCCGCGGUAAUACGGAGGGUGCAAGCGUUGUUCGGAAUUACUGGGCGUAAAGCGGGUGCAGGCGGUCGGACAAGUCGGAUGUGAAAGCCCUCGGCUCAACUGAGGAAGCGCGUCCGAAACUAUUCGACUUGAGUAUGGGAGAGGAAGGUGGAAUUCCCGGUGUAGCGGUGAUAUGCGUAGAGAUCGGGAGGAACACCGGUGGCGAAGGCGGCCUUCUGGCCCAAUACUGACGCUGAGACCCGAAAGCGUGGGGAGCAAACAGGA